rnacentral:rRNA from 1 species
UACGUAGGGUGCGAGCGUUGUCCGGAAUUAUUGGGCGUAAAGAGCUCGUAGGCGGCCUGUCACGUCGGUUGUGAAAGCCCGGGGCUUAACCCCGGGUCUGCAGUCGAUACGGGCAGGCUAGAGUUCGGUAGGGGAGAUCGGAAUUCCUGGUGUAGCGGUGAAAUGCGCAGAUAUCAGGAGGAACACCGGUGGCGAAGGCGGAUCUCUGGGCCUUACCUGACGCUCAGGCGCGAAAGCUAGGGGAGCGAACAGG